CCUACGGGAGGCAGCAGUGAGGAAUAUUGGUCAAUGGGCGGAAGCCUGAACCAGCCAAGUAGCGUGCAGGAUGACGGCCCUACGGGUUGUAAACUGCUUUUAUACGGGAAUAACGCGCCUUACGUGUAGGGCUUUGUAUGUACCGUAUGAAUAAGGACCGGCUAAUUCCGUGCCAGCAGCCGCGGUAAUACGGAAGGUCCGGGCGUUAUCCGGAUUUAUUGGGUUUAAAGGGAGCGUAGGCCGCAUGUCAAGCGUGCUGUGAAAUGUCCGGGCUCAACCCGGGCCUUGCAGCGCGAACUGGCGUGCUUGAGUCCGCGGAAAGCGGGCGGAAUUCGUCGUGUAGCGGUGAAAUGCUUAGAUAUGACGAAGAACCCCGAUUGCGAAGGCAGUUUGCUGCAGCGGAACUGACGCUGAUGCUCGAAAGCGCGGGUAUCGAACAGGAUUAGAUACCCCAGUAGUC
rnacentral:rRNA from 1 species